rnacentral:rRNA from 1 species
UUCCGGUUGAUCCUGCCGGACCCGACUGCUAUUUGGGUGAGGAUAAGCCAUGCGAGUUGAAUGGGAAACCUAAAAAUCCCAUGGCAAACUGCUCAGUAACACAUGAUCAACUUACCCUAUAGAGGAAAAUAACCUCGGGAAACUGAGGAUAAUGUUCCAUAGUUGAAUCGGCUUGGAAAAGUUUUUCAAUAAAAGGGAUAAGGAAAAUGGUCCUUAUCUGCUAUAGGAUAGGAUCGUGCUCGAUUAUGGUUGUUGGUGAGGUAAAGGCUCACCAAGCCGAUAAUCGAUAGGGGCCGUGAGAGCGGGAGCCCCGAGAUGGGUACUGAGACAACGACCCAGGCCUUACGAGGCGCAGCAGGCGCGAAACCUCCGCAAUACACGAAAGUGUGACGGGGUUACCCAAAGUGUUCAUUAGAACUGUGGUAGGUGAGUAAUGUUCCCUACUAGAAAGGAGAGGGCAAGGCUGGUGCCAGCCGCCGCGGUAAAACCAGCUCUUCAAGUGGUCGGGAUAAUUAUUGGGCUUAAAGUGUCCGUAGCCGGUUUAGUAAGUUCCUGGUAAAAUCGGGUAGCUUAACUAUCUAUAUGCUAGGAAUACUGCUAUACUAGAGGGCGGGAGAGGUCUGAGGUACUACAGGGGUAGGGGUGAAAUCUUAUAAUCCUUGUAGGACCACCAGUGGCGAAGGCGUCAGACUGGAACGCGCCUGACGGUGAGGGACGAAAGCCAGGGGAGCGAACCGGAUUAGAUGCCCGGGUAGUCCUGGCCGUAAACGAUGCAUACUAGGUGAUGGCACGGGCCAUGAGCCGUGUCAGUGCCGUAGGGAAACCGUUAAGUGUGCCGCCUGGGAAGUACGGUCGCAAGGCUAAAACUUAAAGGAAUUGGCGGGGGAGCACACAAGGGGUGAAGCUGCGUCAAUGACUCACGCGU